GGACAUUUAUACAGACCAGUCUCCCAGGUGUACCGGGCUUCUAGUAGUUGAUGUCUUCCAGAAAAGGAGAGCAGUACCCAUACUGUAGCCAAAGCCAGAAACUUGAAGAGAAGAAUAACAGGGAUCCAUUGCACUAGGACCAGUGUUGCCAACUCUGCUCCCUGUUCUCCUGCUAGUCCUGUUAAUUGAUCUCAGCUCUGCUUUUUAUGCCAUCAUAAAACUGAUUAGUAUUAAAUAGUAGAUGAAGAAGACCUACUAAUGCAUUGUACUGCAACUUAAUACAAAGCUCUACUCUUUCAAGAAGAUAAAGUUUCC
ensembl:lncRNA